AUUUAAAAAUUGCAGUCAACAAAUCUGGAAUUUUUAAAAUUCCCUUUUAAUAAAAGCAAUUUUUAUGUUGAUGGGUAAACAUCGAGCAUAUAUAUGAUAUUUUUUUUUAUCAAAGUCAAGUACGAAAUAGAAACUAAAGUGUGCGAAAUCAAGAGAUUGUUGAUUGUUCCUCCAUUUAUUCAUACCUGUAAACUCAGACCCACUCACUGCCUUGUAGAUAAUACUGAGUUGGUGGGCGUGAUUAAAAGAAAAUUCAAUUUUUUUCCAGAAACUUUGGUUUCAAUUGGGUAUUUAAGGAAAAAAAAUGAAUUAAGUCCUAAUCGUACACACAUUUAU
rnacentral:sRNA from 1 species